AAAUUGAAGAGUUUGAUCAUGGCUCAGAUUGAACGCUGGCGGCAGGCCUAACACAUGCAAGUCGAACGGUAACAGGAAGCAGCUUGCUGCUUUGCUGACGAGUGGCGGACGGGUGAGUAAUGUCUGGGAAACUGCCUGAUGGAGGGGGAUAACUACUGGAAACGGUGGCUAAUACCGCAUAACGUCGCAAGACCAAAGAGGGGGACCUUCGGGCCUCUUGCCAUCAGAUGUGCCCAGAUGGGAUUAGUUUGUUGGUGAGGUAACGGCUCACCAAGGCGACGAUCCCUAGCUGGUCUGAGAGGAUGACCAGCCACACUGGAACUGAGACACGGUCCAGACUCCUACGGGAGGCAGCAGUGGGGAAUAUUGCACAAUGGGCGCAAGCCUGAUGCAGCCAUGCCGCGUGUAUGAAGAAGGCCUUCGGGUUGUAAAGUACUUUCAGCGGGGAGGAAGGUGUUGUCGUUAAUAACCACAGCAAUUGACGUUACCCGCAGAAGAAGCACCGGCUAACUCCGUGCCAGCAGCCGCGGUAAUACGGAGGGUGCAAGCGUUAAUCGGAAUUACUGGGCGUAAAGCGCACGCAGGC
rnacentral:rRNA from 1 species